rnacentral:tRNA from 1 species
AAUUAUAUAAUAUAAAAAGUAUGUUUAAUUUCCAAUUAAAAAGUUUAUAAUUGUAAUAUAAUUA